ACCUGUCCAAAUGGAGGCAAAGAAAGAACUUUUUUAAUUGGCAUGGAAUACCAAGAGGAAGGAAGGUCAUACUUUUGAAAAUACUGAUGUGAAAGCCCGAAGAGUUAAGGCACUGAAUGGGAUACCUAACACUUGUUCAGCCCAGAGAAAUUACCCAUUUAAGGAGUUACUUUUUCGACUUGGCAAAAGGACCAGAAGUGUUCACUAGGACAGAUUUGGAGCUUUUUGGCUAUACAAGGCAGGCUACACAACAAAACAAAAAGAAAGGAAACGUAGAAAGAAAGAAAUACCCCGUACUAUUAUCAAAUAUAUUGUUUUUUUGGACUGCUAACCUAGUUACUGAGUCUGUCUAGUGUUGAAAGUCACAGGAAAAACACAAAAAGCGGACUGCUUACCUAGCCACACGCGUAUAAUACUCAUGUAGUCCUUGUUUUUGGCAGAGAGAAGCUUGUCAUACGAGGGACAGCCCGCCAAAAGGAUGCGGUCGUGGUCUUCACACAUGGCUAUCAAAUGCU